rnacentral:rRNA from 1 species
GCCCAGACUCCUACGGGAGGCAGCAGUGGGGGAUAUUGCACAAUGGGGGGAACCCUGAUGCAGCGACGCCGCGUGGGUGAAGAAGCGCCUCGGCGCGUAAAGCCCUAUCGGCAGGGAAGAAGCAAGACGGUACCUGACUAAGAAGCCCCGGCUAACUACGUGCCAGCAGCCGCGGGAAUACGUAGGGGGCAAGCGUUAUCCGGAUUUACUGGGUGUAAAGGGGGCGCAGACGGCAGCGCAAGCCAGGAGUGAAAGCCCGGGGCCCAACCCCGGGACUGCUCUUGGAACUGUGUGGCUGGAGUGUCGGAGAGGCAGGCGGAAUUCCUAGUGUCGCGGUGAAAUGCGUAGAUAUUAGGAGGAACACCAGUGGCGAAGGCGGCCUGCUGGACGAUGACUGACGUUGAGGCUCGAAAGCGUGGGGAGCAAACAGGAUUAGAUACCCCGGUACG